AGCUAAGACUUGAAGGGGGAGGGAGAGAGGGAAUGACACACAGAAAAGGGCCGCAGGUCGGAGUCGAACUCGGGCCCGGUGCGUCGAGAAGUAAA